AGAGUUUGAUCCUGGCUCAGGACGAACGCUGGCGGCGUGCUUAACACAUGCAAGUCGAACGGAAAGGCCCGCCACCUUGGUGGUGGGUACUCGAGUGGCGAACGGGUGAGUAACACGUGGGUGAUCUGCCCCGCACUGUGGGAUAAGCCUGGGAAACUGGGUCUAAUACCACAUACGACCAUGGCGUAGGGGUCAUGGUGGAAAGCUUUUGCGGUGUGGGAUGAGCCCGCGGCCUAUCAGCUUGUUGGUGGGGUAAUGGCCUACCAAGGCGGCGACGGGUAGCCGGCCUGAGAGGGUGGACGGCCACAUUGGGACUGAGACACGGCCCAGACUCCUACGGGAGGCAGCAGUGGGGAAUAUUGCACAAUGGGCGCAAGCCUGAUGCAGCGACGCCGCGUGGGGGAUGAAGGCCUUCGGGUUGUAAACUCCUUUCGCCCGGGACGAAGCCCACCUGGUGGGUGACGGUACCGUGGAGAAGAAGCACCGGCUAACUACGUGCCAGCAGCCGCGGUAAUACGUAGGGUGCAAGCGUUGUCCGGAUUUACUGGGCGUAAAGAGCUCGUAGGUGGUGUGUCGCGUCGUCUGUGAAAUUCCGGGGCUUAACUCCGGGCGUGCAGGCGAUACGGGCACGACUAGAGUGCUGUAGGGGUAACUGGAAUUCCUGGUGUAGCGGUGAAAUGCGCAGAUAUCAGGAGGAACACCGAUGGCGAAGGCAGGUUACUGGGCAGUUACUGACGCUGAGGAGCGAAAGCAUGGGGAGCGAACAGGAUUAGAUACCCUGGUAGUCCAUGCCGUAAACGUUGGGCACUAGGUGUGGGGGACAUUCCACGUUUUCCGCGCCGUAGCUAACGCAUUAAGUGCCCCGCCUGGGGAGUACGGCCGCA
rnacentral:rRNA from 1 species